rnacentral:rRNA from 1 species
AACGAACGUUAGCGGCGCGCUUAACACAUGCAAGUCGAGCGAGAAAGGGGCAACCCCGGUAAAGCGGCGCACGGGUGAGUAACACGUAGGUAAUUUGCCCCCAGGUGGUGGAUAACCUUCCGAAAGGAGGGCUAAUACAGCAUAAGACCACGGUCUCGAAAGAGAUUGAGGUCAAAGCCGGCCUCUUCAUGAAAGCUGGCGCCAGGGGAGAAGCCUGCGGCCCAUCAGCUAGUUGGCAGGGUAAUGGCCUACCAAGGCGAAGACGGGUAGCUGGUCUGAGAGGAUGGCCAGCCACAUUGGGACUGAGACACGGCCCAGACUCCUACGGGAGGCAGCAGUGGGGAAUAUUGCACAAUGGGCGAAAGCCUGAUGCAGCGACGCCGCGU